UUGUUUCCCCUCCAGAUCUACCAUCCAGCCUUUUCUACCCUGAUCACCACCCAGGGGACUGAUCCAUGUGUCCCACACCAAUGGCCACCAUGCUGACUGUCUUCCACUUCCCUUAUUGGCAGAUCAACAGGGAAGACCAAAGGAGGUGCCAGUUAGGUGUGUUGAGGUGUAGGUAGCUUCUCAUUUGACAAAUCGGAGGCUGAAACAUCAGGACUCUCAUCUGGAUAGGAUGAAGCAGCCCUGGGAGAUGCUGGGUUGGGCGGCUGUAACCUGCAGCGGGGUGAAGCCUCACAAUGCCUCGCUCUGUGUGUGAAUUGAGCACACUGGAUGUAUGCAGGUGUUGUUGAAAGUACACACGGAAUACAAGAGCAGGUGCUGCAGUCAAAGAGGCGGACAUCAGCAUUGCCUCCCAGGGUCCCUGAUGAAAACCCCCAGUUUCCAUGUAGGACCUCCCGUGGUGCUGGGAAGCUGACUCAAACGCCAACUCCAGGUGGGAGCCUGUGUGUGACACAAGGCAGGUUAGUGAUGGUUCAGGACCCAAGUCACAAUGACUAGUUCUCAAGGAGUGUGUGAUCCAAGUGAAACCACUAAAAGUGACUCUUGGGGACAAAGCACUCAGGAAGAGGUAAUUACAGAGGCCAACUGCGUGCCACGGACUGUUCUAGACAAUUGUAAUGAACAGCAGAGACAUGGUCCUCGCCCUCCAAAAACCCACAUUCUUCAAGAAAACACAGUAUGCAGAUGUGAGGCCAGGAAGGAAGUCAGCGGAAGAGGACAAGGCCGGCACACCAGGAGCUCAGGACACCAAGAGCCAAUGAAAAAUGGAGCCUGGGGCCUGUUCAAGCUGUUCCUGUAGUCCACCUUACUCCCCAACUUUCCAAAUACAUGAACCGACACACGUCCUCUAUCAUU